GUUCUGUCUGUGCUUAUCCAAUGAACACGGGCAGGUUUGGUGCAAUGCAUACAUAACAAGAUGAGUUCACUGCUUUAAGCAAUGCAGUCUACUUAAUGGGUUGGGAAUCUGCGAGCUCUGUGGAAGUUCAGAGUUGCACUUAUAACUGAACUGAGGAAGGCAGCAGGAGAGGCCCUCUGGGGUAUGUUCAUAGCUGAUUCCAUGUCGAUGCCUGUUCAUUGGUAUUAUGUGGUAAACAACAUUAAGGAAGACUUCAAUGUCUGGAUAACUGGGUACCAGGCCCCCGAAAAGCACACACCCCUCCAGCAUCAUGAACCUUUCCAAUUCAGGUAUGCAGCCUGGAGACAAUACUUUGAAUGCUCUUUGAGCUAGAGCUGCUGUUCUUGCUGAGUACGUCCGCUUUCUGACAACACCAGGCACUCAUAAGGACACCUAUGCUGAAUCCUUCCAUAGGUCCUUCUUUGCUGAUUGCCAAGAAAGUCGCCCAGUCUCUAACAUGAAGAUUAAUUUGUCGUAUGGCGAUAGCCAGCUUGAUACAAUAGGCUGUUUUCCCAUGGGAAUACCUUUUAUUCUUCUGUCUGCUCGAUCAAAUGAGGACGAGGCUAUAUCCUAAGUCAUCAGAAGAGAGAUUAAAAGUCUAUCAGAAUGCCACCGCAUACCUUGGCCUGGCAUGUUAUACAAAACGGGCCCUUCGCAGCAUGUUCUUCCUGGCCCACCAAUAUGCUGAUGAUUUUACUGGGGGAGUAAGUUCUCGUUGUUCAAGAGAAAUCUGCCACCAUGGUGCUGCUCUGGGGGCUCUUCUAGGAGCAGCUGCUCUUCACCAAGGGAGUGUCAUGCCUCAGCACUGAAAGCACAGUCUGUCUACCACUGCCAAAGAGCUGCAGCGCAUGACCCGGGAAAUGCUCUGAACACUACCGCUAGAGAAAUCGAAUUACAUGAAGAGGAUGGAGGGUGUUGGAGAAACAUGCACUUUAAGAAAUGAUUGUUUAAAAGAAUAACUGUUUAGUUUUAGAUUUGUUAGUAUUUGGGUUUCCAUUAGUUAGUUAAAAGACAAUUUGGGUUUUAUAUUAAUUACUGGAGCAAGAAGGCAGAUGGCAAGGGGAAAGUUUAAAGUGCACCAAAUGGCAGUUUAAAAGGGGACCCUGUGCUUUGUCAGAGAGAACACUUUGGGAGCUAAAACCUUCAAAAGCUUAAACAAUCUCCUUCCUUCCUUAUCUUUAUAACAUCAGGGUUUCCCAUGUGGAACAUCAAACAGGCUUUGUUACAAUCACUUAAGGUAAUAAAACAAAACUGGACCCGCGUGGUCAAUGAUAUUCUGAUAGGUUAAGAAAUAAGAGAUGAUGUCUAAGCGAAGCUGUAUUAAAUCCCAACAUUGUAUUGUCUUGUUGAUUCUGUUAUGACCGGUGCUUAGGGAAAAUGGAAUA